AUAGAUUCAAUCUGUUCAGGUGCUCUAAUUGAGCUUAAUAGGGAACCCCCGUUAAAAUCGGGGACGGGCCCGCCGCUGUGAUCGGGGACGAAAGCUGCAAAAUGCCACUGCCCGUUACAAUUGCCGCCAGGCAAGGCUGCCGAUUGUUCAUCAGGUGGGAAGGCGCAGUAAUUAGGAUGAUCCGCAAGUCAGAAGACCUGCCUGGACAAAAAAGCAAAG
rnacentral:ncRNA from 2 species